UACGUAGGUGGCAAGCGUUGUCCGGAUUUACUGGGCGUAAAGAGCGCGCAGGCGGUCGAGUAAGUCGAAUGUGAAAGCCCCCGGCUUAACUGGGGAGGGUCAUUCGAUACUGUUCGACUUGAAGGCAGGAGAGGGCAGCAGAAUUCCCGGUGUAGUGGUGAAAUGCGUAGAUAUCGAGAGGAACACCUGCGGCGAAGGCGGGUAGCUGGGCCGACACUGACGCUGAUGCGCGAAAGCCAGGGGAGCGAACGGG
rnacentral:rRNA from 1 species